UACGUAGGGUCCGAGCGUUGUCCGGAAUUACUGGGCGUAAAGAGCUCGUAGGUGGUUUGUCGCGUUGUUCGUGAAAACUCACAGCUUAACUGUGGGCGUGCGGGCGAUACGGGCAGACUUGAGUACUGCAGGGGAGACUGGAAUUCCUGGUGUAGCGGUGAAAUGCGCAGAUAUCAGGAAGAACACCCGUGGCGAAAGCGGCUCUCUGGAACGGUACUGACGCUGAGACGCGAAAGCGUGGGGAGCGAACAGG
rnacentral:rRNA from 1 species